GACGAACGCUGGCGGCGUGCUUAACACAUGCAAGUCGAACGGAAAGGCCCUGCUUUUGUGGGGUGCUCGAGUGGCGAACGGGUGAGUAACACGUGAGUAACCUGCCCUUGACCUUGGGAUAACUUCAGGAAACUGGGGCUAAUACCGGAUAGGAGCUCCUGCUGCAUGGUGGGGGUUGGAAAGUUUCGGCGGUUGGGGAUGGACCCGCGGGUUAUCAGCUUGUUGGUGGGGUAGUGGCUUACCAAGGCUUUGACGGGUAGCCAGCCUGAGAGGGUGACCGGCCACAAUGGGACUGAGAUACGGCCCAGACUCCUACAGGAGGCAACAGUGGGGAAUAUUGCACAAUGGGCGGAAGCCUGAUGCAGCAACGCCGCGUGCGGGAUGACGGCCUUCGAGUUGUAAACCGCUUUCGCCUGUGACGAAGCGUGAGUGACGGUAAUGGGUAAAGAAGCACCGGCUAACUACGUG
rnacentral:rRNA from 1 species